rnacentral:rRNA from 1 species
AGAGUUUGAUCAUGGCUCAGGACGAACGCUAGCGGCAUGCUUCAAACAUGCAAGUCGUACGCGAAAGGGGCUUCGGCCCCGAGUAGAGUGGCGCACGGGUGCGUAACACGUAGCUAACGUACCCCCUCGCUGGGGACAACUCCGGGAAACCGGGGCUAAUACCGAAUGAUCUGCCAAUGUCUUCGGACGUUGUCGGUAAAGCCGUAAGGCGCGAGGGGAUCGGGCUGCGGUCCAUUAGCUAGUUGGUGGGGUAAUGGCCUACCAAGGCAACGAUGGAUAGCUGGUCUGAGAGGACGAUCAGCCACACGGGGACUGAGAUACGGCCCCGACUCCUACGGGAGGCAGCAGCGAGGAAUCUUGCGCAAUGGGCGAAAGCCUGACGCAGCGACGCCGCGUGGGGGAUGAAGGCCUUCGGGUUGUAAACCCCUUUUGCCAGGGAAGAAGUUCUGACGGUACCUGGCGAAUAAGCCACGGCUAACUACGUGCCAGCAGCCGCGGUAAUACGUAGGUGGCAAGCGUUGUCCGGAUUUACUGGGCGUAAAGCGCGUGUAGGUGGUUUGGAAAGUCCGGGGUGAAAUCUUGCGGCUCAACUGCAAGAGGUCCUUGGAUACUUCCAGACUUGAGGGAGGCAGAGGAAGGUGGAAUUCCCGGUGUAGUGGUGAAAUGCGUAGAUAUCGGGAGGAACACCAGUGGCGAAAGCGGCCUUCUGGGCCUUUCCUGACACUGAGGCGCGAAAGCGUGGGGAGCAAACCGGAUUAGAUACCCCCGUAGUCC